AAGAGAGCGAAUGAACAAGGCGAAGCACAAGAAAAGGAGAGCAAACAACUAUGAAAACAUCGUAUUUGGUUUUUACAAAAUACGUGAAACAAUAUAAUGUCUGAACUUUGGUUGAUACAUCACAAAAAUAGACGCAAAGAUGAACGGAAGUAGCUACAUAUGACCAACAUUAUUACACAACAACGACACUUCGAGUUGAACCCAAUGCCUUGGAAAAGAGAGAGAAAAAAUCUCCUGAUCCUUACACACUAAACUCUUCAAGAAAGAUUUAACCAAACUAUCAUCUACAGAUAAGUUCGCGUCUUUCCAAAAUGUGCUCAGGCAAACCGCAACAACGAUCGCCUUCAAAGAAACUCAAUCCCCUUCAACUGUAUACUUAUCAAAUGAAUCUGAGAUAAAUGGCAAACAUCGAAACACCUCUUCAUCAGGUUCGGUGCUUGCGCAUACAAGUAUUCGUGUCAAAAUACAUACCUGUGCAUAGAUCUCCAAAUUUUCGCCUUUUUUUUGCUGAGGUCCUACAAUCAAUCGACCCAAUCAAAUAUAUUGACGGAUCUGAUGUUUUUUUAAUGUUUUUAUAAAAGGAAUAAGCAAAUCCUAUGAAUCCGUACGUGUAAAAGAGGUUGUUUGUUUGUUCCAAGUUGUGCAAGACCAGUAAAACUCAAGAACGUUUGGUGGUGGGGAUUUGCGCGGUGCGUUAACGCAUAUUUUCUACAUUAUGUCUCACUUCAAUAAACAGUGGCUCGGAAAUUCACCGUAACGAUAAAACAGUGAAAGUAUUUACCGACCCAAUCAUUCGUUUACUAAUGCUAAAUUUGAUACUAUAACUGUUGAUAAUUGGACGUAUUGAACUAAAGCGAUUCUGUAGAAGCCAAUAUCUUGACUCGCUAAAGUUACACGUAGCCAAUAAAAGGGGUUACCACCUUCCUCUCAGCGUACAUUAUUGGUCAAUGCAAGAAAAGGUUUCUAAGGAUUUAAAAGGCUUCUCCGUGUUGCGUUAUUCGACAUAACACUUGCAAGUGAAUCCUUAUUUAUAAAAGAGAUGGAUAAGGAAAGACAACGUAUCCAUCACCGGUAAUUGUAUGACAAGCAGAAGCUAUAUAUCAAAGGAAUUGUACAUUCGUUCUCAGCUAUUUCUCACUAGCCAGAUGUUACUAUUCUUCACUUGUCUUGCACGCUUCCCAAACCAUUUCGACCGCCCGAAAACAAUCAAUACCAAUUAAUACUUACGACAUCAUUGAGAAGAAAUGUUAUAAAUAGACCUUAGCUAAACUGAAGGAACAUAUACUCUCAAUUGCAAAAAUGGUUACUAAAACCGAUGUAUUACGGUUAGUUGUAUUACAAAAAUUUAUUUAAAAUGUAUGUUAGUAUGUCAUCAAUUAUUCAUGCUUCUUGUCCUUGAUUAUUGUUAUAUAUCUUUUGAGCGCACAUCAAAUAAAUUAAACGGAUUGGUAAUUACAAAACAGACAUGCUGAGUUUGUGUAAAAAUCAUCGCUAAUUCUAGGUGGUAUAUUUAAUCUAUCCUAUAGAAGAAAUUACCUUUACUCGUUAGUAAUGUCUCGUACCAUUGACACAGUCUAAUACAUUAGCAAUUAAAAAAGACUGUGGCAUGGCCUGUAAAAAAUACGCAUCUAGCUCUUAUU
rnacentral:lncRNA from 1 species